GACAGAGGUGCAAACGUUGUUCGGAAUUACUGGGCGUAAAGCGCGUGUAGGCGGCCCUGCAAGUCGGUGUGAAUCCCACGGCUACAACCGUGGAAGUGCACUCGAAACUGCAGGCUAGAGUCCUGGAGAGGAAGGUGGAAUGCUUGGUGUAGAGGUGAAAUUCGUAGAUAGUCAAGCGGAACACCGGUGGCGAAGGCGGCCUACUGGACGAGUC
rnacentral:rRNA from 1 species